GCGCCCGUAGCUCAAUGGAUAGAGCAUCAGCCUUCUAAGCUGGGGGUUAUUGGUUCGAGUCCAAUCGGGCGUACGA
rnacentral:tRNA from 1 species